rnacentral:rRNA from 1 species
AACGAACGCUGGCGGCAUGCCUAACACAUGCAAGUCGAACGAGACCUUCGGGUCUAGUGGCGCACGGGUGCGUAACGCGUGGGAACCUGCCUUUAGGUUCGGAAUAACUCAGAGAAAUUUGAGCUAAUACCGGAUAAUGUCUUCGGACCAAAGAUUUAUCGCCUUUAGAUGGGCCCGCGUAAGAUUAGCUAGUUGGUGGGGUAAAGGCCUACCAAGGCGACGAUCUUUAGCUGGUCUGAGAGGAUGAUCAGCCACACUGGGACUGAGACACGGCCCAGACUCCUACGGGAGGCAGCAGUGGGGAAUAUUAGACAAUGGGCGAAAGCCUGAUCCAGCAAUGCCGCGUGAGUGAUGAAGGCCUUAGGGGUUGUAAAGCUCUUUUACCCGAGAUGAUAAUGACAGUAUCGGGAGAAUAAGCUCCGGCUAACUCCGUGCCAGCAGCCGCGGU